AUCCAGCUGACGAGUCACAAAUAGGACGAAACGCGCAUGGUGGAU
rnacentral:hammerhead_ribozyme from 1 species